GACGUAGGGCGCGAGCGUUGUCCGGAUUUAUUGGGCGUAAAGAGCUCGUAGGCGGCUUGUCGCGUCGGCUGUGAAAUCGCCCGGCUCAACUGGGCGGGGUCAGCGGAUACGGUCGAGCUUGAGCAAGCUAGGGGGUAAUGGAAUUCCCGGUGUAGCGGUGAAAUGCGCAGAUAUCGGGAGGAACACCUAUGGCGAAGGCAGCUCGCUGGGACGUUACUGACGCUGAGACGCGAAAGCGUGGGGAGCAAACAGG
rnacentral:rRNA from 1 species